CUGAGAUGACUUUUUGAUUGGCGAAGCAGUCAGGGCGGUCACGUGAGACAGGCCAAUCGCAUAUCGGGAUUCGGGGGCGGGGACGGGGCACGAGAGGAAUGGGGCGUUUUUUUUAGAGUGGGCCUGCGCACUAGGAAAGGAGAGGAGAGGAGGAGCAUACUGGAGGCGGAGAGUGUAAGGUCACACUACUCUAAAUUCAGCUCUGGGCCUGGGCUGGAGAUUGGGUUUGGGCAUGGGUCUGCACCUGACCAAGUUCAGCUAGGAUUUUUCUAGUACCAACUCGAAUGCAUUUUUUUUUUUGGAGACAGACACUUCCUAGCUGUGUGACCCUGUGCAAAUCACUUAAUCCUCAUUGCCUAGCCCUUACCACCAUUCUGUCUUGGAACCAAUACACAGUAAGGAGUCAAAGAUGGAAGGGGAAUGGCUGAACAAAAUGUGGUGUAUAGUGGUCAUGGAAUACUAUCGUGCUAUAAGGAAUUAUGAACAAGAUGAUUUCAGAGAGAAUUUGGAAAGACCUAUAUAGACUGAUGCAGAAUGAAAUAAGCAGGACCAAGAGAAUAUUAUACACCAUAACUGAAAUACUGCAGAAUGAUCAAAUGUGAUGGGCUUUGCUACUAACAGCAAUGUAAUGAUCUAGGAUAAUUCUGAGGGACUUAUGAAAAAAACUGCUGCAUGUCUGCAGAGAAAGAACUGUUGGAGUAUAAAUACAGAUGAAAACAUAUGACUUAUCACUUGUCUAUUUGGAUAUAUAAUUUGAAAUUUUGGUUUUAUAAGAUUAUUCACUUACAAAAAUGAAUAAUAUGGAAAUGUUUUGUGUGAUACUGCAUACAUAACCAAGAUUGAAUUGCUUGUCAACACCAGGAGAGGGGAG
rnacentral:lncRNA from 1 species